GGCGGAAUGUGUCAUGUAGCGGUGAAAUGCAUAGAUAUGACAUGGAACACCAAUUGCGAAGGCAGCUCACUAAACUAUUACUGACGCUCAUGAACGAAAGCAUGGGGAGCGAACAGGAUUAGAUACCCUGGUAGUCCAUGCUGUAAACUAUGAUCACUAGAUGUUGGCGAUAUAUUGUCAGUGUUUUAGAGAAAUCGUUAAGUGAUCCACCUGGGGAGUACGUUCGCAAGAAUGAAACUCAAAGGAAUUGACGGGGGCCCGCACAAGCGGUGGAGCAUGUGGUUUAAUUCAAUGAUACGCGAGGAACCUUACCAAGACUUAAAUGUAUUUUGCUAAAUUGAGAAAUCAAUUGUUCUUCGGACAAUUUACAAGGUGCUGCAUGGUUGUCGUCAGCUCGUGCCGUGAGGUGUCGGGUUAAGUCCCAUAACGAGCGCAACCCCUAUUUUUAGUUACCAGCGAAUAAUGUCGGGGACUCUAGAAACACUGCCUGUG
rnacentral:rRNA from 1 species